CCUACGGGAGGCUGCAGUGGGGAAUAUUGGACAAUGGGGGGAACCCCGAUCCAGCCAUGCCGCGUGUGUGAAGAAGGCCCUCGGGUUGUAAAGCACUUUCAGUGAGGAAGAACGCCUGGUGGUUAAUACCCAUCAGGAAAGACAUCACGCACAGAAGAAGCACCGGCUAACUCCGUGCCAGCAGCCGCGGUAAUACGGAGGGUGCGAGCGUUAAUCGGAAUUACUGGGCGUAAAGCGCGCGUAGGUGGCUUGAUAAGCCGGUUGUGAAAGCCCCGGGCUCAACCUGGGAACGGCAUCCGGAACUGUCAAGCUAGAGUGCAGGAGAGGAAGGUAGAAUUCCCGGUGUAGCGGUGAAAUGCGUAGAGAUCGGGAGGAAUACCAGUGGCGAAGGCGGCCUUCUGGACUGACACUGACACUGAGGUGCGAAAGCGUGGGUAGCAAACAGGAUUAGAUACCCCGGUAGUC
rnacentral:rRNA from 1 species